AUUGAACGCUGGCGGCAGGCCUAACACAUGCAAGUCGAACGGCAACAGGAAGCAGCUUGCUGCUUCGCUGACGAGUGGCGGACGGGUGAGUAAUGUCUGGGGAACUGCCUGAUGGAGGGGGAUAACUACUGGAAACGGUAGCUAAUACCGCAUAACGUCGCAAGACCAAAGAGGGGGACCUUAGGGCCUCUUGCCAUCGGAUGUGCCCAGAUGGGAUUAGCUAGUAGGUGGGGUAACGGCUCACCUAGGCGACGAUCCCUAGCUGGUCUGAGAGGAUGACCAGCCACACUGGAACUGAGACACGGUCCAGACUCCUACGGGAGGCAGCAGUGGGGAAUAUUGCACAAUGGGCGCAAGCCUGAUGCAGCCAUGCCGCGUGUAUGAAGAAGGCCUUCGGGUUGUAAAGUACUUUCAGCGGGGAGGAAGGGAGUAAAGUUAAUACCUUUGCUCAUUGACGUUACCCGCAGAAGAAGCACCGGCUAACUCCGUG
rnacentral:rRNA from 1 species